rnacentral:misc_RNA from 1 species
GAGUGGUGUAGCUUAUGUAAUUCUGAGAUUAUGUCAGAACUAGUGGGCAAGAGUUCAGACAACUGGGAUGCAAGUACUUCAGGCAUCUUGUCACCAACAACAAGCAAUGGAUGGCUACAAAGUUUUAGCAAGUACUGAAGUGCCUGGAAAACAUGUGAAGAUGCUUUUGGUGAAGCACUAUGUCCUUCAUUAUGUGUUGGCUCACCCAGUUUUACCAUACUUGAAAUCUCUUGUCUAACAUGUGAACCAGAAAACUGUUCGUAUAGUUUUAACUGGACAGGGCUCAAAUCACAAUAUCUGUCCUGAAUAAUUUUCUCUGGCAAGUCAGACAAAACUUCAUCUUUUGUUCGCCGGAGGAGAAAGGGCAUCACCUGCUUGUGCAAGGCUUCCAUGGCAAGCACCCCAGCUUCAGCAUCCUUGGCAGAACAUUUAGCAUCUCUAGCAGCCAACAAAGGUUUCCCAUAAGUGGCUUGAAACUGUCUUUCCGUCCCAAGAAACCCUGGCAUUAGAAAGUCAAAGAGAGACCAUAAAUCCAUGAUGUUAUUCUGAAUAGGUGUUCCACUAAGUAUUAGGCGAUGUUGGGCUUUCAACUGCUUCACUGCAGCUGUUAUUUUGGACUUCGCAUUCUUGAUUAUAUGCCCUUCAUCCAAAAUACAAUAAUUCCACAGAAACUGCCCAAGGAAAUCAAUAUCUUUGCGAAUGACAUCAUAUGAGGUAAUGAUGACAUUAUGCUUAUCAAACUGUUCUCUAAGAGACGUACGCUCUUGAGCAGAGCCAGUAUAUUGUAGCGUGCUUAUUACAGAAACAUCAAUAUACUUCUCUAUCUCAAAGGCCCAGUGUCCAACAAGUGUUGAUGGGCAAACUAUCAAAGAUGGUUGAAUAUCCUCAUUGCUACUUGAAGUACGUCGCUCUGCAAUGUCGGAUGCCACAAUUGCUGAUGCCUGUAAUGUUUUACCAAGUCCCAUAUCAUCACAGAGAAUGCCAUGAAGCUUGAAACGUUUUAAGAAAGCCAACCAGUUAAUCCCCUCUUGUUGAUACCUUCUCAAUGUCACCUUCAAUUCUGUGAAAAGCUUGUAAUCAUCAAUAUGUGAAUUGUCAAGUAGUUGCUCCAAAAACUGUGCAUCUUCUGCAUUCCUCGUUAGACCCUCAUUCAAUCCACUAGGAGAGGGCAGACCCCUUGCUAAUGGAAGAAGAGGAACAAGGGCAGCAAAACUGCGUGUCACACUCUGU